ensembl:snRNA U2 U2 spliceosomal RNA
CUUGCUUCUCGGCCUUUUGGCUAAGAUCAAGUGUAGUAUUUGUUCUUAUCAGUUUAAAAUAUAACUAGGCAACUUCCUACCUCAGCAUCUUUGUACUUGCUGUUUCUUCUGCUUGGAAAAUUCCU